ensembl:lncRNA
UGUCUAAAAACUUGGAAGUUAUAAAAGAAGGCACUAAAACAUAUAAGAAGAUGUUCCUAAACACUGCCCUGUGAAAGGAUUAAUCUUCCACGCUCCAGACACAGAAGAACUCAUUAAACUGAAGUAAAAUAUGGAUUCUCCAGACAAGAAUACUGGAGUGGGUAAACAUUCACUUCUCCAGAGGAUCUUCCAGCCUAGGAGUUGAAUUGCGGACAGAUUCUUUACCAUCUGAGUCACCAGGGAAGCCCAGAGCGAGUCAGCAUAGAACAAAGAAGUGAGCAGUGUUUGGAUGGAGAUUGUUCCUUAGAUCUUAAAAUAUGAUGUCUUUUGAAAAAAGGAUAUGAAUUUCCUCUCACAUGCUGCCCAGGAGCACAGACUGUGAAAUGAGCAGAUAAGCAGUCAGAAGUCUGUUCAAAGAGUUCUCUAUUAUUUAUUCGAUGUGUAACCUUGCACCUCAGAGCUUCUGUGAGUUGUGUGAUUUUCUCCUGAAUUGCUUUGAGAUAACUUUAUAUAUAAAACAUUUUGCACUGUUAAUAUGAUUUUUGAGUAAUUUACAAAUCAUGCCUAAACAUAAUACAGUUGCUA